UGCUGAUUCAAGGGGAAAGUCCAUACUUUCUGUGAGAGAAUUUCUGGGCACCAAGAAAACAGGGAGCAAGUCCAGGCUGUGGAUUCUCCAUCCCUGGCAGUGUCUAAAGCCACGUUGGAUGGGGUUGGAACCACCUGGGAUAAUGGAAGGUGUCCCUCCCCAUGGCAGGGGGUGGAACAAGAUGGUGUCUUAAUAUCCUUUCCAACCUAAACUAUUCCAUGAUUUUAUGAUUUCCAGUUAGUCCCAAAGGUGUCCACAUAGGAAUGUGGCAGGAUCUGAGGAAGCAGGAGGAUGAGUUUCCUGUAGGAUUGUAUCCCUGUUGGCUUUCAACCCACCCUAAACCCCAGGCAUGGAGACCCUGUUAUCAGUUGUGCUGGUGCCUCCAGCUUAAUUAGGAGUUUCAAUUAUUUUUAUUUUUUAGUUUUAGUCCCCCCAAACCCUUCCCCGAGUUCCUUCUAGGGGGAGAUUCAGGAAAAACAUGUUUGCCUUUGCUGCGGUGUGAGCAACCCCACCACCCCAGAAAGUGCAGGGGGCACUGCGGGAGCCAAAUGCCAAAACCUCUCCUCCAACCCAGAGCUCCUCCAAGGCAGCUGCACCUCCAGGAGCAGCUGGAGCAGAGGCAAGGCCAGAUGAGAUGAUGCCAUAAGGUUUAUUUCAUGUUCCUUCCUCCCUUGAGGGGCAGCGGCUCCAAACGCCUGCAAGGGCUGGACAGCUCCGGGAAGGAUGAAAUGUCCCCAAGAAAUGGCCGAAGGAGGGUGUUUUUCAGGAGCUGGAAACGCUCUGCUGAAAAGGAUGAUAAACCCAGGGGGUGUUGGACACGCACAGAUUUGGCCAAGGGUUUGUUUUUCUCCUGAUGAAUACCGGGAUGAAGCACUGCCCCUUCAGGAAGUGGGGUUUGGCAGGGAUGCAGUGAUGAGAUAUCUCACCCCUUCUCCCUGUGCCUCCAGAGGUCUGUCCUUGCUGUAUCCUUCCCCCACUGCUCUGUGUUGGCUCCAUGUGUAAAGGGUUUGGGAGAGGAGGAUAUCAGGCAGAGGUAUUUUCUGGACCACAAAAGCCAGAAAAAUGACCUAAGGACAGAGAAACAAACAACACAAGCAGCAAACUCAAACAGGAAUCAGGCAGCUAAUGAACCAAGCUCUGCUGAGGUUGCUGCGACUCCACAAAAAAUUGGCAAAAAAGUUGCUCUUCCAAAGCUGCCAGAUUGAAAUAAGAUGCUAUCUCUGCAUAGGAAUUUUUUUUCUUUUUUAAACAUUAGCUCUGCAUCUGCCUUCAGCUAAGGGCUAUAAAUAGAUUUAUACCUCUCUCUGUGUAUAUAUAUGAUGUUUUAUAUAGGUGUGAGUGCCCAGUAAGUGUCUGCAUGUGAGCAUGUGUAUAAAAUAUGCACAGGGGCUGGAUGGAGCCAUCCAUCUAUCAAGUUAUUGGCCUGUCUUGUGCUCAUUCGGGAGAGGGUUUAAAAGGAAUUGCCUAAAUACAUAAUACAUGCUGGCUUUUUUUCCUUUUUAAAAGACAAGUCAAGUCAAAUGCUAUGAUAUAAAUUUUUAAUACCCCUAUGACCUGAUUUUUUUCCCAUCUUGUGUGAGGAAGUUAACAAUAUGAAAUGUCUUUCUGUUGUCUCUAAUCAUGGGCUGAUUUGAUAAGCUGUAAUUAUUAUUCAUGUUCGAGAUCUGCAGCUAGGGAGAUGCGGGAGGUGUGGGGACCAUUGGGAUGUUUAGGUUUAUUAUUAUUUAUUACUACUAUGAAUAAAAGGAUAAUGAUUUCAGAGAUUCUGCCAAGUAGUUCAGGCUGCAAAUUUAACUCAUUUAAAAACCGUUGCAAUCCAUUUGCAUCGAUGAGAGCCUCUUCAGUAGGUUCUUUGGUUCCUUACUGCAUUGGGUUGGAAAGCCAGAAAGAAUGGAAGGAAUUAUUUCUGUAGGCCCUACCAAAACAGACUGUGUUUGAUAUUUGACCUUGGGCAUCCCCCUGCCAUCCUUCUCACCUUGUCUGGGCCCCUUUUGCAAUCCCAGCUCAUGAAUUGAAAUCAAGCACGGGGCACGGGUUUGGACAUAAGGGUGUGGGGACAAGUUCUCCUGCACAUCCUCCACAUACAAAAUGGGAUUUAGCUUGGAGGAAGGAAGGGAAGAGCACUGUGCAGAGAGCUUUGCUGCUUUCAGACCCAG
rnacentral:lncRNA from 1 species